rnacentral:lncRNA from 1 species
UCCUGUUCUGCAUUCACAAGGACAAUUGUCUGUCUCGCGCUUUCAAUUGGUUCGAUGAAACACCAUUACAUCAGGAUUCGAUGCAGCUUGACUGAUGUAUGGUCAGGGAUGUGGCAUAUUUCUUCCACUGUCACGCAGCUAUUCUAGAGUUGGAGGGUGAGGGAGACAGUGGGAUAGCAACAAGAUGAGAGGCUGAUAAACUGUCCAGAAUAACUUAACAGCUGGAUACUUCAUUGAGAUAAUUACUUUCCCCUUUCAGCAGAAACAGCGUUGGGUUAGUUAAUUGGAAACAUUUCAGAUUUUCUUUUAAACCAGACCCUUUUUGGACAUAUAGGCAUUUGUGGUGCACAUAUCUUGAAGGAUUUCGUAUUAAUUUGUCAUUCAUACAGAACAUAAUUAACACCGGUAACCAGCUGACAGAGUGAUGGUUGUUCAUCUUCUGGAGCUAUGAUCUCUGAGGCUGACAGACAGGGAGCAGUUAGACCCAAGAGGUCACCAUCAGACGGGCACAGGGACAGGGACAGGGACCGCAGCCCCAGACAGAGAGCAGAAGCUGAUCAACACUAUGUUUUACAGGAGAGACAUCAGGAGGGCAUCGACGACCUCCCUGCAGGGAAGAGACAAAUGAUGGAGAAGUUUUUCACUCCUGUUCAUAGUCCUUCUCCAGGUGGGAUGAAACCAGGGAAGCACCGCCAUCACAACCCCGAUCAUCACCACCAGCACCGGGAUCAAGAACGGGAGACACACAGCUACAGCAGGUUACGGGACAAUGAUAGACGCAGCAGUGAAAGCCACGGUCACCACUAUACCCAGGGUAACCAUCCCCAAGAUGACCAGGAGCAACCCCUUAGACGCCACCAUCACCAUCCUCAGCACCUUCAUCAUGACGACGAGAUGUCGGACCACCACACCACCGUUACCCUCUCCAGAGCAUCUUCCUCCUCCCUCUCAUCUUCCCCCUCCGACUCUUCCACCGAAUGGUCCUCUGAGGCCGGCAUUGACGACAAGUUCUCCAUGAAGCACGCCAGCCGGCCGCAGCAUACCAUGUCCUGCUCCAACAUUGCGGGAGGACGACAGUUCCGUGAGGACGACAGCGAGCUGCAGGUGUAUGCCACCGUCAAACAGGGGCGAAUUCACGGAGGAGGCAGUCCUGGGACCCAUCCUCGGGCCCAGGGGAGGGGAGGACGCGAGCCCAGCUACUCCGAGCUAAACCGGGGCCACAGCCGCAGUGAAGAGGGGCUGCUGCAGAACACAGGAGCUGACAGAGGGAAAGUACAGACACCCCCACACCUGAAGCACGGAUCCCUCUACAAGACAGCCAGCCUGGGCCGGAGCCUGGCCUUCAGUGAAGAGGUCUUGGCUGGGCCGAAGAGGGCGGUGUCCUUUAUCCAGCUCCCCAGUAAAGGCAUCCUGAAAAACAAGGAGGCUCCACGGGACAUCCGCAAGGCCAAGUCCAUGGAGGUGCUGUCCCCCCGGGUGGCAGGCAAGGCGGCAGGGCCCAAGGGGAAGCAGGAUGUGGAUGCUCUGAAGGAUGCAGCCAGGCAGAGCAUGGUGAAGGGGAAGAUACAGUUCUCUGCAUUCCUGGAUGAGAUCACUAAACAGGUCAUCAGCCCCGCUCGUCUCAAUACUCUGGGGGUCCCUGUCGAGACGGUAGGACCAUGUCCAGCCAAAGCCCCAGCAUCCCCCAAAUCUCAACCGAAAAGUCAGCCCCAGCUUCCCUCGAAAAAGCAGGGAGAUGGGCAGGGGGAAGAGAGGGAGCCGGCUACUAAACCGCAGGCUCUGCCUAGGAAACUGAGGAAUGACUCUGACACACGGUCACGGAAAAUAUGUCUCCCUGCAAAGUUUGGGUAUGAAAGCAAGAACCACACUCCUCGUCUAGGCAGCCCCCCAACCCUCCACUCCAGCCAACCCUACCCGCCCCACCCACCAGCUGGCUAUGAAGACCAACCAGCUUCCCUGCCUGACUUCCAGGGUCCUGUCGGUAAUAGGCAUGGGCGGUAUGGCCCGCUUCUUACAGAUGGCACUGUCAGCUCCAGCCCUGAGCCCAGCCAUCACAAACACCGGAGCUACAAACACCUUGACCAGAGCCACAGGCCCAGCCAUAGCCCACCUUCAUCUCCACACACCCAGCAGCCCCAGCUACCCCACCACGCCCCGAUCCACACACAUUCUCCUCCUCCAGUACAAGGGCCAGAGUCGGAGUCUCCCUCCAGCAAGUCGGACUCGUCCCGGAACAGAGAACGAGACACGGCCAGCCCCAACUCCGAGCAGAGCGACCGCCACAGCCAGUCAACCUACCGCUGGUGUCCUACUUCAUAUAGGGCCCUGACGGGUGACAUAGGCGAACUCCAGACACUGCAGGAGCAGAAUGCUGAGCUGCACCAGAACCUGAUGCAAACAGUGGUCUGCAUCGAGAGCCUGGAGGCGGAGCUAGCCAGGGCCAGGGAGGAGCUUAGCCACAUGAAGGAGAAGUUCAAGAGGCUCCAGGACACACACACAGGUACCCAGCACACCAACAGCCUUCUGGGGGAGAAACUGCACUCAGCGGUUCCCUGUCUGAUCAAGGAGCUCCUGGAGAAGCACUUUGACUCUGGAGACGCUGUCAAGCAGUUCCUGAAGAACGCCUUGAAAACUGGCCAAUCUACGGGCGACAUCCAAUCACCGGGUCCAAAACUGGAGCAGAAGCCGUCUGAUUGGUCAGGCGUAGGACUGAGGGAGUUUGAGGCGGGUCCACAAAAGGUCACUGCUUUUAUGCCCUGGAAGCAGGAGGAGGAGGGGUUUGGGGUGAUAGGUCAGACAGGAAAUGAGGAUUCUGGCUCAAUGAGUCCCCCUUUCUCCGUUGCUGACAUCAGUAUGGCUAUCUAUAAGAAGCUAGCUGUCAGCCAAGCAGCAAGACAGCCCCGGCCUUCCAACUACCAACCUCACACUGACACCCCUCCCAACCCCUACCCGCUGGUGGAGUUGGGUGCCGGGGGUGCAGGAGGUGCAGGGGGGGAGGGUUACCUUGUGCCUGCUGUCAAGGGGUGUGUGGCAGAGGCAGGGAGAGCAGCUGAGAGUAAGCAGGGUGCUGUUGUUGAUGUGUCCUAUCUGACGGCCCAGAGGGUUUUAGAUGACUUCCUGCACCA